UUGCUGGAUGCUGACGAGCGGCGGACGGGUGAGUAAUGCAUAGGAAUCUGCCCGAUAGUGGGGGAUAACCUGGGGAAACCCAGGCUAAUACCGCAUACGUCCUACGGGAGAAAGGGGGCUCCGGCUCCCGCUAUGGGAUGAGCCUAUGUCGGAUUAGCUAGUUGGUGAGGUAACGGCUCACCAAGGCCACGAUCCGUAGCUGGUCUGAGAGGAUGAUCAGCCACAUCGGGACUGAGACACGGCCCGAACUCCUACGGGAGGCAGCAGUGGGGAAUAUUGGACAAUGGGGGCAACCCUGAUCCAGCCAUGCCGCGUGUGUGAAGAAGGCCCUCGGGUUGUAAAGCACUUUCAGCGAGGAAGAACGCCUAGCGGUUAAUACCCGCUAGGAAAGACAUCACUCGCAGAAGAAGCACCGGCUAACUCCGUGCCAGCAGCCGCGGUAAUACGGAGGGUGCAAGCGUUAAUCGGAAUUACUGGGCGUAAAGCGCGCGUAGGUGGCUUGAUAAGCCGGUUGUGAAAGCCCCGGGCUCAACCUGGGAACGGCAUCCGGAACUGUCAAGCUAGAGUGCAGGAGAGGAAGGUAGAAUUCCCGGUGUAGCGGUGAAAUGCGUAGAGAUCGGGAGGAAUACCAGUGGCGAAGGCGGCCUUCUGGACUGACACUGACACUGAGGUGCGAAAGCGUGGGUAGCAAACAGGAUUAGAUACCCUGGUAGUCCACGCCGUAAACGAUGUCGACCAGCCGUUGGGUGCCUAGCGCACUUUGUGG
rnacentral:rRNA from 1 species